AGAGUUUGAUCCUGGCUCAGGACGAACGCUGGCGGCGUGCUUUACACAUGCAAGUCGAGCGAUGAGAUCCCUUCGGGGAUGGAUUAGCGGCGAACGGGUGAGGAACACGUGAGGAAUCUGCCUUCAACACUGGGAUAACUCCGGGAAACCGGGGCUAAUACCGGAUACGAGAGCUGCAGGCAUCUGCGGCUCUGGAAAGUUUUUCGGUUGAAGAUGACCUCGCGGCCUAUCAGCUUGUUGGUGAGGUAAUGGCUCACCAAGGCGACGACGGGUAGCCGGCCUGAGAGGGCGACCGGCCACACUGGGACUGAGACACGGCCCAGACUCCUACGGGAGGCAGCAGUGGGGAAUAUUGGGCAAUGGAGGAAACUCUGACCCAGCGACGCCGCGUGCGGGAUGAAGGCCUUCGGGUUGUAAACCGCUU
rnacentral:rRNA from 1 species